AUGCUCCCGCUUCACACCGAGCAUUCCCCUCGUCCUUCCCAGCUGGGGGACAAUUCCCGGGGUUUAUGUCCCAUUCCCGGAGUUUUUGCAUCAUUCCCAGUGGGUUUUACCCCAUUCCCAGUGGUUUUACCCCAUUCCCAGUGUUUUUACCCCAUUCCCAGUUGGUUUUACCCCAUUCCCAGUGGUUUUGCCCCACUCCGGGUGGGUUUUACCCCAUUCCCAGUGGGUUUUGCCCCAUUCCCAGUGGUUUUACCCCAUUCCCAGUGUUUUACCCCAUUCCCAGUGGUUUCACCCCAUUCCCGGUGUGUUUUACCCCAUUCCCAGUGGUUUUGCCCUAUUCCCAGUGUUUUUACCCCAUUCCCAGUGUUUUUACCCCAUUCCCAGUGGUUUAGCCCUAUUCCCAGUGGGUUUUACCCCAUUCCCAGUGUUUUUGCCCCAUUCCCAUUGUUUUUACCCCAUUCCCAGUGUUUUUACCCCACUCCCAGUGGGUUUUACCCCAUUCCCGGUGUUAUUUACCCCAUUCCCAGUGGUUUUACCCCAUUCCCAGUGGUUUUGCCCCACUCCGGGUGGGUUUUACCCCAUUCCCAGUGGGUUUUGCCCCAUUCCCGGUGUUAUUUGCCCCAUUCCCAGUGGGUUUUCCAUCAUUCCCAGUGGUUUUGCCCAUUCCCAGUGCAUUUUGCCGCAUCCUUGGUGGUUUUACCCCAUCCCCAGUGGGUUUUACCACAUUCCAAAAGUUUCUCCCCCAUUCCCAGUGUUUUUAUCCCAUUUCCAGCCUUUCUGCCUCAUUCCCUGUGCGCUUUACCCCAUUCCCAGUGUUUCCUGCCCCAUUCCCGGCACUUUUUCCCUCAUUUCCAGAAGAUUUUCCUCAUUCCCAGCAGCUUUGCCCCGUUCCCAAUGGGUUUUCCCCUCAUUUCCAGUGCGUUUUUCCCCCAUUCCCUGUGGAUUUUCCCCAUUUCCGGUUAAUUUUUCACAUUCCCAAUAGUUUUUCCCCAUUCCCUGUGGGAUUUCCCCCAUUCUCGGUGGGAUUUUCCCCAUUCCCGGUGGGAUUUUCCCCAUUCCCAGUGGUUUUCCCCCAUUUCCAGUUGAUUUCCCCCCCAUUCCCAGCAGGUUUUUCCCAUUCCCAUCAGGUUUUUUCCCUAUUCCCAGGAAUUUCACCCCACUCCCCAUGGGAUUUCCCAGUGAUCUUUAUCCCAUUCCCGGUGUUUUUUUACCCCGUUCCCAGCAGUUUUGCCCCAUUCCCCGUGGGGAUCAGGCAGGAAAAUCCCGGGAAGAGCUGAUGAGGAUGGGGAAAAUCCGUAGGGAAUGUGAGGGGGAAAAAAAAAAACAGGAGUAGGACGAAAAUCGCUGAAAAUGGGGGAGGAAUACCCAGGAAUGGGACAAAAAUCACUGGGGAUGGGGGAAAAACCCUCCAGGAAUGGGACAGAAAUCACUGGGGAUGGGGGAAACCCCACUGGGAAUAUGGAAAAAUUCAAUGGGGGAUGGAGAAAACUCUAAGGGAAAGAGGAAAACCCGACUGGGAAUGGGGCAAAACUGCUGAAAAUGAGGGGGAAAAAAAUCACGGGAAUGGGAAAAAAAACCCCACUGGGAAUGAGGGAAAAGGUGCUCGGGAUGGAGGAAAAAUAUCUGGGAAUGGGAAAAAAAAAAAACCCACCUGGAAUGGGGAAAAACCUUCUGGGAAUGAGGGUAAAAAACCCUGGAAUAAGGAAAAACCUUUUUGGAACAGGGGAAAACUCACUGGGAAUGGGGGAAAUCCACUGGGAAUGGGGAAAAAAACAAUGGGAAUGGAAAAAAAAAAUCACUGGGAAUGAGGGAAAACAACUGGGAAUGGGGGGGAGGGAAAAAAAAUGGAAAAACUGGAGGUGUUUGGGGUUGGAAUUUUGGCCGGGAGAAGGUGGGACCCCCAAAUUCGGAAUAAUUUGGAAUAAAUCCUCCAGGAAAUUCUCAAUUUUAGGGGAAAACCAGCGCCGGGAAUGAGCAGAAUUCCAGGAUUUUGGCGGGUCCUGCGUUCCUUAAUGAACUGCGAGUAAUUAACGCCUCAUUAGCCGGUGCUCCGGGAGGGAAAUGCCUCCCCCCCCCCCCCCCCCCCCCCCCCCCCCCCCCCCCCCCCCCCCCCCCCCCCCCCCCCCCCCCCGGGAAAUGCCUCAAAUCCCCCCAAAAAAAAAAAAAAAAAGAAAAAAAAGGGAUUUUUUUGGGGUGUUUUUCUCCUCGUUCCUGCGGUUUUUGGGGGACCUGGGAGUGGUCCCGAUUCCCCGGGCUGAUAAAAGUCGCUGUUUUUCCUUAUCUCGCCCCAAAAUUUGGCUGUUCCCGCGGAUAAUUCGGAAUUAUUCUCCAUUUCCGUCCAAGCCCUCAAAAUUUGGGGUUAAACUCAUUUUUUCCCCGUUCUUUUUUUUUUUUUUUUUUUUUUUUUUUUUUUUUUUUUUUUUUUUUUUUUUCCC
rnacentral:lncRNA from 12 species